UUCCGGUUGAUCCUGCCGGAGGCCAUUGCUAUCGGAGUCCGAUUUAGCCAUGCUAGUCGUGCGAGUUCAGACUCGCGGCACCGAGCUCAGUAACACGUGGCCAAACUACCCUACAGAGACGGAUACCCUCGGGAAACUGAGGUUAACCCGUCAUACCGAUCUCAGGCUUGAAUCGCAGAGAUCACAAAAUGCCCCGGCGCUGUAGGAUGUGGCUGCGGUUGAUUAGGUAGACGGUGGGGUAACGGCCCACCGUGCCCAUAAUCAGUACAGGUUGUGAGAGCAAGAACCUGGAGACGGAAUCUGAGACAAGAUUCCGGGCCCUACGGGGCGCAGCAGGCGCGAAACCUUUACACUGCACGCACGUGCGAUAAGGGGACUCCGAGUGCGAGGGCAUAUUGUCCUCGCUUUCGUGUACCGUAGGGUGGUACACCAACAAGGGCUGGGCAAGACCGGUGCCAGCCGCCGCGGUAAUACCGGCAGCCCGAGUGAUGGCCGAUCUUAUUGGGCCUAAAGCGUCCGUAGCUGGCUACGCAAGUCCGUCGGGAAAUCCACUCGCCCAACGAGUGGGCGUCCGACGGAAACUGCAUAGCUUGGGACCGGAAGGCUCGAAGGGUACGUUCGGGGUAGGAGUGAAAUCCCAUAAUCCCGCACGGACCACCGAUGGCGAAAGCACUUCGAGAAAACGGAUCCGGCAGUGAGGGACGAAAGCCAGGGUCUCCAACCGGAUUAGAUACCCGGGUAGUCCUGGCCGUAAACAAUGUUCGCUAGGUAUGACACAGACUACGCGUCUCUGUUGUGCCGUAGGGAAGCCGAGAAGCGAACCGCCUGGGAAGUACGUCUGCAAGGAUGAAACUUAAAGGAAUUGGCGGGGGAGCACUACAACCGGGGGAGCCUGCGGUUUAAUUGGAGUC
rnacentral:rRNA from 1 species